rnacentral:rRNA from 1 species
UACGUAGGAAGCAAGCGUUGUCCGGAAUUACUGGGCGUAAAGCGCGUGUAGGCGGUACGACAAGUCUGCUGUGAAAGCGCCCGGCUUAACCGGGCGAGGUCGGUGGAAACUGUCGCACUAGAGGACGGUAGAGGGGGGUGGAAUUCCCGGUGUAGUGGUGAAAUGCGUAGAGAUCCGGAGGAACACCAGUGGCGAAGGCGACACGCUGGGCCGUACCUGACGCUAAAGCGCGACAGCAUGGGGAGCGAACGGG